rnacentral:tRNA from 1 species
AAAUUAGUUAAGUCUAAUAACAUAAGUUUGUCGUACUUAAAUCAUUGUUUAAACAAUAUUUUUAU